rnacentral:rRNA from 1 species
CUACGGGCGGCAGCAGUGAGGAAUAUUGCACAAUGGGGGGAACCCUGAUGCAGCAACGCCGCGUGGAGGAUGACGCAUUUCGGUGUGUAAAAUCCUUUUAUAUGUCAAGAAAAUGACGGUAGCAUAUGAAUAAGCACCGGCUAACUCCGUGCCAGCAGCCGCGGUAAUACGGAGGGUGCAAGCGUUACUCGGAAUCGACUGGGCGUAAAGGACGCGUAGGCGGGUUGGAAAGUCAGGUGUGAAAUCCUACAGCUUAACUGUAGAACUGCACUUGAAACUUCUAAUCUAGAGUAUGGGAGGGGGAGAUGGAAUUAGUGGUGUAGGGGUAAAAUCCGUAGAUAUCACUAGGAAUACCUAAAGCGAAGGCGAUCUCCUGGAACAUUACUGACGCUAAGGCGUGAAAGCGUGGGGAGCAAACAGGAUUAGAUACCCGGGUAGUC